AGUGGGGUUAGUGCCGCUACUGAUUAUGGCUUGUUAAUUGCCAAAUUAAGCAUCUUCCAUAGCUAUUGUACACCCACGGUAUGUCAUGACGUGCGCAAUGAGGUCGCGAAAGCACCAAAGCUUGGGUGACGUGUUGCAGGAAGUUUACUUUCCGCCGUAAAAGUAAAGAAAAAUCCUAGGUUUUGGAGACUUCGAGGUUUCUCGAAAAUGACAUAAUCACAUGUUUUCAAAGAAAGAAGACAACGUUACUU
rnacentral:lncRNA from 1 species